GUGCUUGUUGCUGUAGCACAUACACUAAAAUUGGAAUGAUACAGAGAUCAGCAUGGCCCCUGCGCAAGGAUGACAUGCAAAUUCACGAAGUGUUCCAUAUUAAC